AAAAGACACAAAACCGGGUAGAACAGGAAGAUAAAAGCAUCAAAUAUGAAGUGAUAAGGUGACCCAGAAAAGGCUUUUUAUAUUUUAAUUUUGGAAAAAUACAAAACUACGUAACCCUGACCCUAACCCUUUUUACAUUUAAAAUGACGUUUUGGCUCUUGAAUGUUGCAUCAACACCAAGUCAGUAUAUUCAAAAUAACUACAACCCCUCUAAAAUUACAAACAAGUACAAACAAAAAAACAAAACCAAAAGAAAGACAAAAAGGUAAAAAUAUAAAACUACAUAUUGGUUCCCCAUGUUUAGUAAGAUCAAGUAGUCUAUAAUUUAUAAACUAAUAGGGGUUUCUCUGGAUCUUAAGUUUGUUCUGGAUUAUUGAGGUAAAAAAAACUAAAUGUUGCUUCCAGUUGUUCUGGGUUGAGUUAGAUUUGUACUGGUGGUCCGCGGUCGCCCCCUAGAGGACCGCGAGUUACUGCAUGUAAACGACCGUUUAUUUGCCGUGACGUCAGCUUAAAGUCCGACGCUACAGCUAGCUUACCACAGGGCUGUGUUAAAAAUAGUGAUGGAAACGGGUAACUCAAAAGAAAAGCUGCAGACACCGGUGGAAAGAAAACAACUCCAGGAAUAUUAUAGUAUCAGAGGAAGCUACGUCAUAGCUGCUGAGUGUUGGUGUGUCUUUCACUAGCGCUUGGAUUCCUUUGAACGACUGUCUAUACUGAACCGUUGCAGAUGAGCUGUGUGUUUGUCGGAGGUCAGACCUGGUGUGCUGCUGCAGGUGGGAGAGCUGGCGGAAGCAUCUUUCACAGUAGGAGCAGCGGUACGGCUUAAGGCCCAGGUGGAUGCGCAGAUGCUGGGCCAGGUUUUGCCCUCCUUAGCGGUGAUGGUGACGCAGGACUGGUCGUUGCCUGAGGCCAGGAUCGGGUACGGAACCACCAAAAGCGACGAGCCAUUCUCUGCCUUGAUCUUCUU